UAAGGCGGUAAUCACAUAUUUUCAGUAUAUAU
rnacentral:sRNA from 1 species